GGCUCAGGAUGAACGCUAGCUACAGGCUUAACACAUGCAAGUCGAGGGGCAGCAGGGAUUUAGCUUGCUAAAUUCGCUGGCGACCGGCGCACGGGUGCGUAACGCGUAUCCAACUUUCCCGUUACUCUCGGAUAGCCUUCCGAAAGGGAGAUUAAUACGAGAUGGUGUUCUAAUUCCGCAUGUUAUUAGAACUAAAGAUUCAUCGGUAACGGAUAGGGAUGCGUGACAUUAGAUAGAUGGCGGGGUAACGGCCCACCAUGUCCACGAUGUCUAGGGGUUCUGAGAGGAAGGUCCCCCACACUGGAACUGAGACACGGUCCAGACUCCUACGGGAGGCAGCAGUGAGGAAUAUUGGUCAAUGGCCGGAAGGCUGAACCAGCCAAGUAGCGUGAAGGAUGAAGGUUCUAUGGAUUGUAAACUUCUUUUAUGAGGGAAUAAAACCUCCCACGUGUGGGAGCUUGUAUGUACCUUAUGAAUAAGCAUCGGCUAACUCCGUG
rnacentral:rRNA from 1 species